rnacentral:lncRNA from 1 species
GAAACAUGCAAAGCAUGCAUCGAAGGUUCAAUGUAGAGAAAGGGAGUGAGGGUAAAGAGAGAAAGAAAUAGGGUUUAGGGUUUGUUGUGUGGAGAUUCUUUGUAUACUUGUCUUACCGAGGUUCUAGUUAUUGAUCGAGGUGAGUGGUUUAUGUAAUGUGUUUAAAAUAUUCUUAUUUUCUGAUAAAUAAAAACCAUGAGUUAUUAUGGAUUUAUCUAUUUUCAAAUAUCUCUCUAUUUCAAGUCAAGCAUGUUGAAUUUAUGGGAUGCUUUCAGAAUUAUUAAUAUAGUGAUAUGUGGUUAUUUGAGGUGUUCAUGGAGCAUGAGAACUUAAGUAUCGGGUUAUCCGAGGGAUAAAUGUAUGGCAAACGUGGACAUUGGGGCGGAAAUGCCAUUUUAAGGGUCAUGUGGUGAGUUAUAUAUUAUGAAGGAUAACCAACAUGUUAAGGAACUAUGUGAUAUGAAAUUAUGUGGCUAAAGCUUUGAUAUUAUUAUCCUAUAUUAUAGUACGAUUAAAAUUGCAAGCAUGACUGGCAUAUUACAUAUUCUACUCACUGAGCGAUGGUGAUUGUUGCUCUCACCCAUCACUUAUUAUUUUACAGAUACGUUAUUUGGCAAGACUGGUGAUAGACAAACUGAGGUUGUCUUAGACGAGGGAUCUAAGAGUUUUAAUUUAUUAUUUUUGUACCCCCUAUAAGGAUUAUGGAGUUAUUUUAUAAGAAUGAAUUUAUUUUCAAACUCGUUUCAAGUUUCCUUUUAAUACUUAACUCACAUUUCAGAUUCAGGUUCGAGUUUUUAUUACCGACCUCAGGUUCGGGGCAUGACAGUGCCCCAUAUGAGGUGUCCCAAAGUAGAACAAGGGCAGACGAAUAACGUCUCUAGCAACGUCCAGGCAAGCAGCAACUCAACCAGUCACGAACAAAGUUUUCUGGCAGUAUACAUGAUCGGAUCAUAUUUAUAUAUAUUUUUACUUCGAAUUCACUCGUCUUUUCUUAGUUAGUUCCUUAUAUUUUUGAGCUAUUUACGUUAUUUUUGUGUUUAUAGGAUAUGUUAUGCAAAUUUACCUUUUAUUGUCACAUGAUAAUACUAAUGUACAUUUUAUAAACAAGUUAUUAUUACAAUUUUAGAAUGGUAAGAGUUCUUCCCAAUAAAUUUAUAUGCCUCAUGGGACGUGAAGCUGCCGAGUCAGUCAGGAAUUAAUCAUCUUCCCCAUAUGAUUAUCGUCGACUUUUCCCACAUGUUUCCAAUCAUAACUUUGGCUUCACAUGCUGAUAAUGUCAUAUUAACAACCCCAUUGCACCCACCAUCCAAUUGCCAAAGCGUGCAAAGAUUCCAAAGGGGAGGUAGGCUGCUUUGGCAGCCGGGAAGAAAAAGAAAAUAAAAUAGAAAAAAGCAGCAAAAAUUGAGGAGUCCACACGGUAGUGCGCAAGAAGUGGAGAAAAGAAAAAUAAUAAAGAAUAGAGAGAAGUGGGAGGUCAGGGACACGGCAUAAUUGAGAAGGAAAAGGAGCUGCUUUGGCAGCUGGAGGGAGUCAGAGACGGACCAGAAAGGAAUAAGAGAAUAAAAGAAGCGUGAGGGAGGUGAGCAGGAGAGUAGUCAGUAGAAAGAGAUAGAAUAGGUGCUGCCUUUGGCAGCGAGAGACAGACGCGGGGGGAUAGAGGUGACAGACGAGAGAGGGAGCUGCCUUUGGCAGCACGGGGUCAGCGAGAAGAAGUCAGAGGGAAGUGAGGACUGACGCAAGGGGAGCAAGACGCAGGAAAUUGGGGGCAGCGUGGAAGGCUGCUUUGAAAGCAGCAUGAGAAAAGGAAAGAGGGCAGAAGCACAGAGGCAGAGAGCAAAGCUUCACUUCCUUCUCUCUCGGUUAAAUCUUUCCAAACUUAUAUUUUAUUUCUGUUUUAAUAAUGUGUAACUAAAUUUAUUUUGGCUAGAGGUUAAUUCAAAGCCAUGAAUAUAUUUGUAAUAUGAAUUGAUUACCUUCAGUUGUGAUUUCUG